rnacentral:rRNA from 1 species
AACGAACGCUGGCGGCGUGUUUAAGACAUGCAAGUCGCACGGAAUCAGUUUUGUAGCAAUACUUGACUGGUUCAGUGGCGCACGGGUGAGUAACACGUGAAUAACAUGCCCUAUAGUGGGGAAUAACCGGCCGAAAGGCUGACUAAUACCCCAUGGUCUCGCAAGAGUAAAGGUGGCCGCAAGGCUGUCGCUAUGGGAUUGGUUCGCGUCCUAUCAGCUAGUUGACGGGGUAACGGCCCACCAAGGCGACGACGGGUACCUGGUCUGAGAGGACGAUCAGGCACACUGGAACUGAGACACGGUCCAGACACCUACGGGUGGCAGCAGUCGAGAAUAAUUCACAAUGGGGGCAACCCUGAUGGUGCAACGCCGCGUGGAGGAUGACGGUCUUCGGGUUGUAAACUCCUGUCAUCUGGGAGCAAGACCUGGCUGUGAAUAGCAGACAGGGUUGAUAGUACCGGAAGAGGAAGGGACGGCUAACUUCGUGCCAGCCGCCGCGGUAA